rnacentral:lncRNA from 1 species
UUAUCGUAAUCCCUUUAUCUCUGUGGCUCUUUCCUCUACCUACUCCAUCUAGCUCUACCAAUGACUGGUAGCCAGCCAGCCAGCCCAUGAGGCUCUUCAGCUAUUCGGUGUAACGAGGCCUGUUUCAGGCCCAUCACUGGAUAUUUAUGCAUAAGUCGGAUAUUACUAUCUUAACUUGUGCUUUGUUCUGUGGAAUUAACUGCAGGGAUUCAUGUUUUGUCUACAACAAGUUGCUUGCAUCUUUUCGAUUGUUGCAAUGAUUGUUGGA